rnacentral:rRNA from 1 species
GGCUUAGAGUUUGAUCAUGGCUCAGGAUAAACGCUGGCGGCGCACAUAAGACAUGCAAGUCGAACGAACUUAACCAUUAGUUUACUAUUGGAGCGGUUAGUGGCGGACUGGUGAGUAACACGUAAGCAACCUGCCUGUUAGAGGGGAACAACAGUUAGAAAUGACUGCUAAUACCGCAUAUGCCAUAGUGAGGACAUCCUCACUGUGGGAAAGGAGAAAUCCGCUAACAGAUGGGCUUGCGUCUGAUUAGAUAGUUGGUGUGGUAACGGCAUACCAAGUCGACGAUCAGUAGCCGGACUGAGAGGUUGAACGGCCACAUUGGGACUGAGAUACGGCCCAGACUCCUACGGGAGGCAGCAGUCGGGAAUAUUGCGCAAUGGAGGAAACUCUGACGCAGUGACGCCGCGUGCAGGAAGAAGGUUUUCGGAUUGUAAACUGCUUUAGACAGGGAAGAAAAAGGACAGUACCUGCAGAAUAAGCUCCGGCUAACUACGUGCCAGCAGCCGCGGUAAUACGUAGGGAGCAAGCGUUAUCCGGAUUUAUUGGGUGUAAAGGGUGCGUAGACGGGAAGUUAAGUUAGUUGUGAAAUCCCUCGGCUCAACUGAGGAACUGCAACUAAACUGAUUUUCUUGAGUGCUGGAGAGGAAAGUG